UGGGGAAUAUUGGACAAUGGGCGAAAGCCUGAUCCAGCCAUGCCGCGUGUGUGAAGAAGGUCUUCGGAUUGUAAAGCACUUUAAGGUGGGAGGAAGGGCAGUAAGCGAAUACCUUGCUGUUUUGACGUUACCGACAGAAUAAGCACCGGCUAACUCUGUGCAAGCAGCCGCGGUAAUACAGAGGGUGCAAGCGUUAAUCGGAAUUACUGGGCGUAAAGCGCGCGUAGGUGGUUCGUUAAGUUGAAUGUGAAAGCCCCGGGCUCAACCUGGGAACUGCAUCCAAAACUGGCGAGCUAGAGUAGGGCAGAGUGUGGUGGAAUUUCCUGUGUAGCGGUGACAUGCGUAGAUAUAGGAAGGAACACCAGUGGCGAAGGCGACCACCUUGGCUCAUACUGACACUGAGGUGCGAAAGCGUGGGGAGCAAACAGG
rnacentral:rRNA from 1 species